UCAUAUUUCAGCUAGCUUGUGUUGUCAGGUUCUAUGAAAUCUGCCUGAGGCCUGCAGAAUCAACACUGCAGUGUCCCAUGCGUACGUGAACGCCGUUCACUUACAGCGCAGUUGGCUAUCGCAACUGACUGUCUCCGUUCAUAGCCAAUCAGAUCUCGAGUCUGCUACAUCAAGGCCAGCUAGCAGGCCUUACGCUGAACUUGACAUGUACGCGUCCUGUGAUUGGGUAAGCCCUCGUGAGAGCCUGAAAGAGGGAAAUACGUUAGCGAUAGAGAUCGAUCCGUUACUGCUGCUAUUGCUGUAUUUAUUUCUUGACCCAUGAUGGCUGAAGGAGGAGAAGAGGUAGAUUUGGUUGCAGAUAUACUUGGCACGCCAUUUUCAAAACGGACCUUUCAGGAAAAGCUGGAUCUUGUGAAGAAGAGGUCGGCCAACCACUAUGCUAACCAGCCUGUCCCAGCAGGAAAAAGGGUUCGUCCGCCAUUUUCAGACAAGCAACCGUGAUCGAUAUGACGCUCACAGUUUUUGAGAAACGCUACAGAUUGUACUGCUGGGAAUACCUGUCGCUUGGAACUGAUCGAUUUGGUUUUUGGAGCUACACUGGAUUUGCGUGUUGCGUGGAGAUCCGUGUUGACUAAUGCGCUGAUGUCAUGAGACUGCACUACCAACGAUCCUGGCAGCUGACGCCGGACUGGACUGUGUACUUCAGCAGAGGAGCCAUUUGUUGCUACUUGGUGUAAUCACAAAGUACAGUGACGAAGACGUGUCUCGUCCUCCUGAAGUCUGAUACCAAACUUCCCCAACCAAGGAGAACAGAAUCGCCUCCCGUCCCAUCGCCAAAACACAGCCACGCCCCAUCCUGCACUUCCUCUGAUCCGUUCUGGAGUCCGUCCAAGAAGAAAAGCACAUGCAUGUAAGCAGCACACACAAAUACACCACAGCCACUCGGUCUGUUUCAUUGGCUUACAUCCGUAAACACACCCACACACACACACACGAGUAAAAGAGCAGGGAAAAUAAGGUGACACGUAAAAACCAAAGGCUAAAUCGUCCAAAACAGAAAGUUAAGUGUCUGUGGUUAAAAGGAAAGAAAAUAACCAAAGGCAUUACAAAAAGCGCCAGGGUUUGCUGUGAGCUCUCAUCG